rnacentral:rRNA from 1 species
AUGAACGCUGGCGGCGUGCUUAACACCUGCAAGUCGCACGGAAAGGCCCUGCUUUUGUGGGGUGCUCGAGUGGCGAACGGGUGAGUAACACGUGAGUAACCUGCCCUUGACUUUGGGAUAACUUCAGGAAACUGGGGCUAAUACCGGAUAGGAGCUCCUGCUGCAUGGUGGGGGUUGGAAAGUUUCGGCGGUUGGGGAUGGACUCGCGGCUUAUCAGCUUGUUGGUGGGGUAGUGGCUUACCAAGGCUUUGACGGGUAGCCGGCCUGAGAGGGUGACCGGCCACAUUGGGACUGAGAUACGGCCCAGACUCCUACGGGAGGCAGCAGUGGGGAAUAUUGCACAAUGGGCGGAAGCCUGAUGCAGCAACGCCGCGUGCGGGAUGACGGCCUUCGGGUUGUAAACCGCUUUCGCCUGUGACGAAGCGUGAGUGACGGUAAUGGGUAAAGAAGCACCGGCUAACUACGUG